rnacentral:rRNA from 1 species
CAGGCCUAACACAUGCAAGUCGGACGCCGCAGUCGCCUUCGGGCGGCAUGUGGAGUGGCGGACGGGUGAGUAACGCGUAGGAACCUGCCCGGAAGUGGGGGACAACCGCUGGAAACGGCGGCUAAUACCGCAUACGCCCCAAGGGGGAAAGGCUUCGGCCGCUUUCGGAGGGUCCUGCGUUCGAUUAGCUAGUCGGUGAGGUGACGGCUCACCGAGGCGACGAUCGAUAGUUGGUCUGAGAGGAUGAUCAGCCACACUGGGACUGAGACACGGCCCAGACUCCUACGGGAGGCAGCAGUGGGGAAUAUUGGACAAUGGGCGAAAGCCUGAUCCAGCAAUGCCGCGUGUGUGACGAAGGCCUUAGGGUUGUAAAGCACUUUCGCCCGCGAGGAUGAUGACGGUAGCGGGAGAAGAAGCCCCGGCUAACUCCGUGCCAGCAGCCGCGGUAAUACGGAGGGGGCGAGCGUUGUUCGGAAUUACUGGGCGUAAAGGGCGUGUAGGCGGCCUUGUCAGUCAGGCGUGAAAUCCCCGGGCUCAACCUGGGACGUGCGCUUGAUACUGCAGGGCUUGAGAGCGAGAGAGGUAAGCGGAAUUCCCAGUGUAGA